GACACUUCUCCCACCACUAUCACACUCCAUAGAAGCCCUUUAAGCCCCAAGAGAAGUAUCAAAGCAAGGGAGAGCGUGGGAAACCUAGGGCGUAAAGUUAGAGUGAAGAUUGUGCUUCGAGGGAAUUGGUCCGCAGGACGGUGCCACAGCUUAAGAUCACCUCUCUUCCACACUAAGGAUCAGGUUGAUGGCUGGUGUUGACGGGGAGAGCUGAGGCUAGGGUUCAACUCCGUGUUUUGACUUCCGCUGUAGUACUAGCCUUUAUCUGUCUUUCGUUUUCUUGACUUAAGACCUUUAUGUUAUGACUCUAAAUGAUAUCUUUUGUUGAGCCUAGACUUUUGACUCUCAAGUAUUUUGAUUAAGGAAUGUUGGUUAUCUGAA